rnacentral:rRNA from 1 species
UGGAUCCAGACUUUGAUUAUGGCUCAGGAUGAACGCUAGCUACAGGCUUAACACAUGCAAGUCGAGGGGAAACGACAUCGAAAGCUUGCUUUUGAUGGGCGUCGACCGGCGCACGGGUGAGUAACGCGUAUCCAACCUGCCCACCACUCGGGGAUAACCUUGCGAAAGUAAGACUAAUACCCAAUGAUAUCUCUAGAAGACAUCUGAAAGAGAUUAAAGAUUUAUCGGUGAUGGAUGGGGAUGCGUCUGAUUAGCUUGUUGGCGGGGUAACGGCCCACCAAGGCAACGAUCAGUAGGGGUUCUGAGAGGAAGGUCCCCCACAUUGGAACUGAGACACGGUCCAAACUCCUACGGGAGGCAGCAGUGAGGAAUAUUGGUCAAUGGACGAGAGUCUGAACCAGCCAAGUAGCGUGCAGGAUGACGGCCCUAUGGGUUGUAAACUGCUUUUAUAAGGGAAUAAAGUGAGUCUCGUGAGACUUUUUGCAUGUACCUUAUGAAUAAGGACCGGCUAAUUCCGUGCCAGCAGCCGCGGUAAUACGGAAGGUCCGGGCGUUAUCCGGAUUUAUUGGGUUUAAAGGGAGCGUAGGCCGGAGAUUAAGCGUGUUGUGAAAUGUAGACGCUCAACGUCUGCACUGCAGCGCGAACUGGUUUCCUUGAGUACGCACAAAGUGGGCGGAAUUCGUGGUGUAGCGGUGAAAUGCUUAGAUAUCACGAAGAACUCCGAUUGCGAAGGCAGCUCACUGGAGCGCAACUGACGCUGAAGCUCGAAAGUGCGGGUAUCGAACAGGAUUAGAUACCCUGGUAGUCCGCACGGUAAACGAUGGAUGCCCGCUGUUGGUCUGAAUAGGUCAGCGGCCAAGCGAAAGCAUUAAGCAUCCCACCUGGGGAGUACGCCGGCAACGGUGCAACUCAAAGGAAUUGACGGA